rnacentral:rRNA from 1 species
GAUGAACGCUGGCGGCGUGCCUAAUACAUGCAAGUCGAGCGAACGGACGAGAAGCUUGCUUCUCUGAUGUUAGCGGCGGACGGGUGAGUAACACGUGGAUAACCUACCUAUAAGACUGGGAUAACUUCGGGAAACCGUAGCUAAUACCGGAUAAUAUUUUGAACCGCAUGGUUCAAAAGUGAAAGACGGUCUUGCUGGCACUUAUAGAUGGAUCCGCGCUGCAUUAGCUAGUUGUUAAGGUAACGGCUUACCAAGGCAACGAUGCAUAGCCGAACUGAGAGGGUGGUCGGCCACACUGGAGCUGAGCCGCGGUCCAGGCUCCUACGGGAGGGCGCAGUAGGGAAUCUUACGCAGAGGGGGAAAGCAUGACGGAGCAACGCCGAGUGAGUGAUGGAGGUCUUGGGAUCGUAAAACUCGGUUAUUAGGGAAGAACAUAUGUGGAAGUAACUGUGCACAGCGUGACGGUACCUAAUAAGAAAGCCACGGCUAACUACGUG